rnacentral:tRNA from 1 species
GGUUGUUUAGUUUCAUAAAAAUAAAUGUGUUGAAAACAUUAGAAAAGUGAACCCACCACUUAACAACUA